ensembl:snRNA U6 U6 spliceosomal RNA
GCUUGCUUCAGCAACCAUAUACUAAACUUGGAAUUCGAUUAGCAUGGCUGCUAUGCAAGGAUGACCUGCAGAGUCGUGAUGCAUUCCAUAUUCUA